GGUUUGCUUCAUUAGUUGAACACGUGCCACUUUCCUCUACCUUCAUCUCAGACGGGUGCUUUCCUCUUUUCUCCCCUCGAUCUCACCACUCUCGAAUCUUCCAUUCUCCCCUCUAUUCCAUCUUUUGAUUUGUUAAUGCUACUAAGUUUCACCGAUUUGAUUGCCGCUUUCUUUGAGUAUUCUUUCUGUAUGUAUUAUUAUGGAUUAUUAUUUUCUUUUCUUCACUUCCCAUAGUAUUUUUUCCUCUGAUUUUCUCACAGGCACCGACCCGAGUAGAGUCCAGCUCCGAACCCGUUCACGUUUUCCUACCCCGAAUGGACAUUCAAUGUGUAAGUGCUCGAUUCCCUUUCGAUUCAUUUCACAAUCGUUGUACUUGAAGCUCUCCAUAGCUUUAAGCGACGAUUGUGAUUUUUUUCUCCCCUUCGAUUUUGACUUUUUUUUCCCUUUCUUUUUUGUGUUUAUGGGUUUGAAUUUUUAGGGUUUCAAAGUUUCUACGCGUUACUCUGUUGUUGGGUAUUGGUUUUGGAGGUGGGGGAUAGUAUAAAUAGGGUUGGGGUUUUCUUGAAAGCAUUGGUGGAUUUUUGUUAGGGUUUGGAUAUUCGUGUUAUUGUUGCUGCUGCGCAGAGACGUUUCUUUCUCGACGUUUCUUUUUCUUUUUGCAAGUUUUUUGUGUGCCUUAUUUUUUGUUCUCUAUUAUUUUUUUUCCUGGAUGCGCGAACAUAUCCUUUGCUUGUGUUGAUUUUUUUUAUAUUUUUCUUUUUUGGUUUGAAUAUUUUCUGAAGGUCAUGGUAAGCAUGGUGGCUGGCACCUGUUUUCCGAGAACUUGGUCAUGGGUAUGCGAUUUCUUGGUCCAGCAGUUUUUUUUUUUACAUGGUUUUUUGUUGCAUAUGAAGGCUGUGGACAAUGUGAACACCAUUAUUGCUCCUACUUUGGUUGGCAAGGACCCAACUCAGUAGACUGCUAUUGACAACUUAAUGGUUCAACAACUUGAUGGAACUAUUAACGAAUGGGGUUGGUGCAAGCAAAAGGCUUUAAUAUGUCAAAUUCGUUGCCUUGAGCAGCUAGUGUUAACAUACAAAGCCGGGUGGGGAUUCGCAUGAUUUGUCGGCUGAGGUUGCCAAGAAUUCUUACAAAAAUGAGCAAAGGAAUCAGUUGUGAUUAGCAAAGGAGAGGGAAGAAUUACAGCUAUAUCAUAAUUGCUCGACCCUUGCUAUAUGGAUACAGGGAUGUGUCGGUAGAUGAACGUGUAAUCAUGACAACUUUCUCUUUCUUUUUCCUCCUUUUUAAGCUCUUUAGAAUUUUUUACAAUAAUAGUUACUGCUUUAUGUAUCAAAAUUGAGAGCUUUUUCUUAUGCAUCAAUAUAGGCCUCUGAUUUUGUGGCAAAAGCUGUGGAUUUAGCAGCCAGAGAAUUAAUAGCAAUUGCAUCACCAAGACAAGGUUUAAUCUGCGUUGCUUUUUGUCUCUUGCUGUGAAUCCCGGUAUGUGCCAAAUUAAAUAUAGGCUUCCUGCAAGCUGACUCCCAUCUAUUUUUAAUUUUACCCUUGCUGACUACAAACCAAUAACAACAAUUAAAGGAACCUAGAUGGAUGGUGAAAGUCUCAAUGCUAUACUUCAUCUAUUUAUAAUUGGUUCUGAUGUUUCUUCACCUGGAAAAUUAAAUUAUUUUUUGUUCGAACCACGUUUGGGAUGUUACCUCCUUCAGGUUAGAGGGGAUAUAGCAAGGGCAUUAAUCUUGAACUACUUGCUUUGCCUGAUGACGGUGUUCCUAAAUUACUCCUUGAUAUCGGUUGUGGAUCGGGAAUUAGAGGUGAGACAAUCUCGGAGAAUGGACACCAUUGGAUUGGGCUUGAUAUUUCAGCAACAAUGCUUAGGUCUAGGAAUUCGUCCUGGAGUUAUGGAUGGGGCCAUCAGUAUAUCUACUAUUCAGGUAUCAAAAUAGACUACGUCGACACCUUAACUUCGUGUGGUUAUGAUUGAUUACGUAUCUCAUCACGUGCUACUGAGGCAUACCUGAUUCAGGUUAUGCAACGCCUUAUAGAGCUCGGAGCCCUCCAACCUACUGGGGACCUGUCAUCAGUGAGGAGAUCUGUGCAGUUUUUCCUGGACCACUUGCUAAGCCAGGCACCAGAUUAGGAGCAGACCCUUUCUGCAAUCGGGGAGGUUUGUUAACAUUGUUAUAUUGGAUCAAUGAAUUCAUAAUAUUUUGAGUGUUUGUUUCAAUGAAACUAAAGAUUAAGCUGAAGGUGGAGAAUCAUUGU